GUUUUGGACAGGAUGGCAAUACAUAUACUAAAAUUGGAACGAUACAGAGAAGAUUAGCAUGGCCCCUGCGCAAGGAUGACACUUCUCAGUGACAAUAUCUUGACACACUG